CCCAUGUAUUUUAUCUUAUUUUACUUCAUUUCUUAGGGUAUUCUCCCAUUUAGGUCCAUGUUCCUGCCCCAUACUACAUUUCCACUGUCAGAUGACUUCCAGCUCUCUUCUCAUGGAGGCCAUCUGACAGCAUGAAGUGGAGAGCGCUUGUCAGCAGGAUGUGGAAGGGUCCUCUGGCAGGAAGUGGAAGAGGUUCUGUUAGCAGGAAGUAGAGGCGAACCACCAGCACGAUGUGGAGGGGCCCUCUGACAGGAAGAGGAGGGGCCCUUCUCAGGAAGUGAGGGGUUCUGCAGCUGGAAGGAAAGGCGGGCCAUGACAGGAAGCUCCCUCAGCCUGUAUUUGCCCAGAGUUCUCAGUGUUCUCUGGAAGAUGGAAGGAUCACAGGGUGACCCAAAGCAGCUCGAAAGAGACCCCAGCCCUGAGCCUGAGCCCCUGCCUCUCCAGGAUCUGGAAGGCCGGACAGAAGGGAACCUCAGCCCACAGCUGCUCCCUCUCAGAUCCCACGUCUGAGCCUGGGCCCGGGACUGGAAUCCAGGGGUGGGUGUCCCGGGCACUGUCCAAGGUACUUUUGUAAGCACCUGCCCCUAACCUUCUGGUUCCCCUAUGCACUUCCCACAGGGGGAAUGAACUAAUUGCCAGUAAAAAAUACAAGAC
rnacentral:lncRNA from 1 species